rnacentral:ncRNA from 12 species
GGGAUUUGAGGACGGAACGGGCAGCCGUCGCCCUCGUUGGAGAUGCGGGAGUGUCGCCCUACCAAGUCUU